AUUUGCCAGGAAGCGAGCUUGUUGUUUUCACUUAUGCUGAAAACCUGGAGAUUGGUGAGGCCUGCGAGGAAGUUGUUGGGGAUUGAAGUGAAAUCAUUGUUGUCGAGGUAGAGUUGCUCGAGAGAGGUCAUAUUUUGGAAGGAAGGUAGGGCUCCGGUAAGGGAGUUUUGCUGGACGGCGAGGGAUUGGAGCUGGGAGAGCUGGUUGGUUUCGGGAGGCAGAGUGCCGGAGACGGCGGCGGAGUCGAGGUUAAUGCUGGUGACGAAGGAGUUGGUGGAGUCGCACUUGACGUUGUUCCAGGUGCAGAAGUGGGCGGAGGAGGACCAGCCGCGAGGGGGCGUGGAGAGGGAGGACAGGAGCUUGGACAUGGCGGCGGAGUCGUCCGCGGCGGAGAGGCAAAUGAGGCUGAGGAAGGAGAGGAGGCGGAGGCCGCGGUGGCGCGUGGCCAUGGGGGCUGAUGGAGAGAGAAGGAGAAGAAGAAAGUUGAGUUGUGUUGUGUUGUGUUUUGCGGCUGCCUACGUUUUUAUUAGUAUCUGUAUUUGUAAUUGUGUUUUUGUGUAUGGCGCACACCUGCUUCAAGGGUGGGCGGAACUUGUUUUUUUAAAUUAAUUACUGUGCCUCUUUUCUUACUUCACAAAAAUCCUCCAUUCGUAUUCCAAAAAAUAAGGUUUAAUUUUAAAAAUAAUAGUAAUUAUUAUUAUUAUAUUUUUAAUCAAAAAAUUACUUAUAUUUGAAUGAAAAAUAAAUUAAUCAUGUGAUAGAAUAAUUAAAUAAAUUGAUACAUUAAAAACUAGGGAUGUCAAUCGGGCCAGCCCAUCGGGUUUUCGGGCUAGCCCUAUCGGGUUCCGGGUUAGUCGGGUGCGGGCUAAUCGGGCUGGAGGUUUUUUCGGGUUGCGAUUUUUCAACCCUAACCCUCUAAUUUUGUCGGGUUAUUCGGGUCGGCCCACGGGUUUCGGGCUGCAUUGACAUCCCUAUUAAAAACACAUUUAAUGUGUUGUUGAAUAGUGUCUAUAAAUAAAAAUAAACUAAUUAUGAAUAUACCAAAAAAAACAAAACUUGAAAACUUUUUAAGGGACAUAGGAAGCACUAUUUUAUCCUCCUACUUCCUUUCAAUUUCCUUUAUAAGGCAUAUAUGGAAUUACAAUUUAACACUCGUGUUAUGAUUAUUGUCCAUCUUUUUCAGUUCCUUAAUGUUCUAUCUUUAUCAUUAAAUAAAGGGUUAAUAGCCAGAAAAUACAUGAAGUUUGCCCGAAAUUGCAAAUUGCACAUUAACUUAAAAAUUAGCCGUUAAAUACAUGAAGUUUUUAAUUUAAAACGCAAAUUGCACCUGACGAGUUUUUCGGCUAGGGUUAAGUUUGACGGUGAUUACGUGGACAUUACAUAGCAUAUUGUGUGACUUUUUGUACACGCUGGCAAGCCACGUGGGCAAAACGACGUCGUUUUGCCCAUAAAUUAAUUAAUNCAAGUUAAUCAAAGAAGGACGGCACUAUCCCAGUAAACCUAUUAUCCCUCAGCUGCAGAUCAAACAGAUUUGUGCACUUUGAUAAAUCGGGAAUUCCACCGGAAAACGCAUUAGCGUGCAGCCAAACCUGUGACAGCUGAGACAUAUCAGAAAGCACAUCGAUACUUCCAGAUAAGCCUUGGUCCUGAUUGUUGAGCCACAGAUUCCGAAUCUCCGAUCCGGAGAAAGAUCCCGGCAGAGAUCCGGUCAAGUUGUUGUAGGAUAGCCUCAAAUCCUGCAAAUUGGGGAAGGAAUCGAAAAUGUCUGGAAUGACGCCAUUAAUGCUAGCAUUGCUGGCGUAGAACUUGACGAGAUUCGAACUAUCGGUCAAAUAAGUUGGAAUUUUCCAGGCAACGAGCUUGUUGUUUUCACUUAUGCUGAAAACCUGGAGAUUGGUGAGGCCUGCGAGGAAGUUGUUGGGGAUUGAAGUGAAAUCAUUGUUGUCGAGGUAGAGUUGCUCGAGAGAGGUCAUAUUUUGGAAGGAAGGUAGGGCUCCGGUAAGGGAGUUUUGCUGGACGGCGAGGGAUUGGAGCUAGGAGAGCUGGUUGGUUUCGGGAGGCAGAGUGCCGGAGACGGCGGCGGAGUCGAGGUUAAUGCUGGUGACGAAGGAGUUGGUGGAGUCGCACUUGACGUUGUUCCAGGUGCAGAAGUGGGCGGAGGAGGACCAGCC
rnacentral:lncRNA from 1 species